GCAGCCGCGGUAAUACGGGGGAUGCAAGCGUUGUCCGGAAUCAUUGGGCGUAAAGAGUUCGUAGGUGGCCUGUUAAGUCUGGUGUUAAAUGCAGAGGCUCAACUUCUGUUCGGCACUGGAUACUGGCAAGCUUGAAUGCGGUAGAGGUAAAGGGAAUUCCUGGUGUAGCGGUGAAAUGCGUAGAUAUCAGGAGGAACAUCGGUGGCGAAAGCGCUUUACUGGGCCGUAAUUGACACUGAGGAACGAAAGCCAGGGUAGCAAAUGGGAUUAGAUACCCC
rnacentral:rRNA from 1 species